CUCUGUGUAGCUCAGUUGGUUAGAACGCUGCAUCGGAAUCGCAGGGCCGCAGGUUCGAUUCCUGCCAGAGGGC
rnacentral:tRNA from 1 species